rnacentral:rRNA from 1 species
GAUGAACGCUGGCGGCGUGCCUAAUACAUGCAAGUCGAGCGAACAGACGAGGAGCUUGCUCCUCUGACGUUAGCGGCGGACGGGUGAGUAACACGUGGAUAACCUACCUAUAAGACUGGGAUAACUUCGGGAAACCGGAGCUAAUACCGGAUAAUAUAUUGAACCGCAUGGUUCAAUAGUGAAAGACGGUUUUGCUGUCACUUAUAGAUGGAUCCGCGCCGCAUUAGCUGGUUGGUAAGGUAACGGCUUACCAAGGCGACGAUGCGUAGCCGACCUGAGAGGGUGAUCGGCAACACUGGAACUGAGACACGGUCCAGACUCCUACGGGAGGCAGCAGUAGGGAAUCUUCCGCAAUGGGCGAAAGCCUGACGGAGCAACGCCGCGUGAGUGAUGAAGGUCUUCGGAUCGUAAAACUCUGUUAUCAGGGAAGAACAAAUGUGUAAGUAACUAUGCACGUCUUGACGGUACCUAAUCAGAAAGCCACGGCUAACUACGUG